ensembl:lncRNA
GGGGAUUUGGUUAUACAUUGAGUUUUUUCCACGCAACUGAUGGCUCGAUUGCCAGAGGGCGACUGGUGAAGGAGAUAUAGACAUUUUAAGGAUAUCAAAUAUAUCCUUUAUGUGAUCUACGGGAACAGACUAAAACAACUUUUUGUAAACCGUGUAGCCUAUAUUUAGGUAGCGUAGCUUAUGCUACCUGUAUUGCAUUAAGCGGUCAAAUUUAGCUCGUUUCCUUGUGGGAUUCAAAUGGAUAAAACUGUAUGUCUCUAAUAUGUUCAGAAGAACAGCAAUCAUAUUCUGAUUUUUACCAUAACCAAAUCAAAUUACAGCCUAUUUUAAUUAAAACCCAAACACUACAUUUGAUUUGGCGGUAUAAAUUGGGAGGCCAUGAAGGAGGGCGACGCGAUUGACACUGCACCCAGACUGCGCAUGCAAGACGACUCACGCCCGCGCUCCGGGAUCCUAACCACACACAGGCGCACAUUUGGGUUGUUUGCCCUACUUUCCGCACAGCUGCAUUUAGGCGUGACGUCUGCACAGAUGUGCGCCUACACACUCCAAGGAGGAAAGGCAGCCUCUGAUCAGAUUCAGAAGCAAUAACAGACAGUCACGCGCUUAGAUUUAUUUAUCUGUUUUUUUUAUUUUUCUCUCCAUUUUUUCUUUUGUUAUUCCUCCCUUUUUCCUUUAAAUACGGGUACAUUAAACUGUGAUUUAUGUGAAGACCUUUAUUCAUAUUCUACAAUGUUGUUGUCUCUCACGUCCUCUUUUUCUUGGCAACAUUCAGAUGUUAUCUGUUGGAGGGAAACGUCAAGUUGGCCCCUAGAUUAGACUCUGUCCGGUGAGUGAGUCGCUUCCAUAUCCAUGCCUGAUGAGGAGUCAACCCUUUUUUGACACAUUUUUCAAUGAUGCAGAACUUGAUGCAAUCAGGCUCAUGCUCCAUCACUCUAGCUUUGCAAAGGAAGACUUUAAUGAUAGGCGGUAUUUACCAUGGAAGCACUUAUAUUCAGAACGUAAGGUCCAGCUAAUUAUCGUCGUCUCUUCUAUCUUCAACGUCUUAGUAAAAAGUCGUUUCGAUGAUGAAACAGCUUCGGAAGUGUGAGGGCACACAACAUAGAUCAGCAGUGACACCUUGUGGCGAUGUAAAGUACUCCAAGCGUGGACCUCUCCACCAUUAUGUCAGCUUGAACCCAAAUACGCAACGACUGAGCCUUCUGCUGUAGAACUACCCUAUAAUGUUUGGUUUACACAGUUUUAAUCUAACCAGG